AUUGAACGCUGGCGGCAGGCCUAACACAUGCAAGUCGAGCGGAGCGGCGGACGGGCGAGUAAUGCCUAGGAAUCUGCCUGGUAGCGGGGGAUAACGUCCGGAUACGGGCGCUAACACCGCAUACUAUCAGAUGAGCCUAGGUCGGUUUAGCUAGUUGGUGGGGUAAAGGCCUACCAAGGCGAAGAUCCGUAACUGGUCUGAGUGGAUGAUCAGUCAAAAUGGGACUGAGACACGGCCCAGAAUCCUAAGGGAGGCAGCAGUGGGGAAUCUUGCGAAAUGGGCGAAAGUCUGACGGAGCAACGCCGCGUGAGUGAUGACGGCCUUCGGGUUGUAAAGCUCUGUUAAUCGGGACGCGGUACCGGAAUAGAAAGCCACGGCUAACUACGUGCCAGCAGCCGCGGUAAUAC
rnacentral:rRNA from 1 species